rnacentral:rRNA from 1 species
AGUGAACGCUGGCGGCGUGCCUAAUACAUGCAAGUCGAACGAAGUGGCGCACGGGUGAGUAAUAUAUAGUUAAUCUGCCUUACACUGAGGGACAACAGUUGGAAACGACUGCUAAUACCUCAUAGUGUAGGAUGUGGCUAUAUCGUAUCAGCUAGUUGGUAAGGUAAUGGCUUACCAAGGCUAUGACGCGUAACUGGUCUGAGAGGAUGAUCAGUACAAUUGGAACUGAGACACGGUCCAAACUCCUACGGGAGGCAGCAGUAAGGAAUAUUGCGCAAUGGGGGAAACCCUGACGCAGCAACGCCGCGUGGAGGAUGACACUUUUCGGAGCGUAAACUCCUUUUAUAAGGAAAGCGGUACCGAAUGAGUAAGCACCGGCUAACUCCGUGCCAGCAGCCGCGGUAAUUC